UACGGAGGAGGCAAGCGUUAUCCGGAAUUAUUGGGCGUAAAGCGUCCGCAGGUGGCAGUUCAAGUCUGCUGUCAAAGACCGGGGCUUAACUUCGGAAAGGCAGUGGAAACUGAACAGCUAGAGUAUGGUAGGGGCAGAGGGAAUUCCUGGUGUAGCGGUGAAAUGCGUAGAGAUCAGGAAGAACAUCGGUGGCGAAGGCGGGUCUCUGGGCCGAUACUGACGCUGAGGAGCGAAAGCGUGGGGAGCGAACAGG
rnacentral:rRNA from 1 species